UGAGGAAUAUUGGUCAAUGGGCUUACGCCUGAACCAGCCAAGUCGCGUGAGGGAAGACUGCCCUAUGGGUUGUAAACCUCUUUUGUCAGGGUAGCAACAACAUCUACGAGUAGGUUGUUACGAGAGUACCUGAAGAAAAAGCAUCGGCUAACUCCGUGCC
rnacentral:rRNA from 1 species